CCAGACUCCUACGGGAGGCAGCAGUGGGGAAUAUUGCACAAUGGGGGAAACCCUGAUGCAGCGACGCCGCGUGAGCGAUGAAGUAUUUCGGUAUGUAAAGCUCUAUCAGCAGGGAAGAAGAUGACGGUACCUGACUAAGAAGCCCCGGCUAACUACGUGCCAGCAGCCGCGGUAAUACGUAGGGGGCAAGCGUUAUCCGGAUUUACUGGGUGUAAAGGGAGCGCAGGCGGCACGGCAAGCCUGAUGUGAAAGCCCGCGGCCCAACCGCGGGACUGCAUUGGGAACUACCGGGCUGGAGUGCCGGAGAGGUAGGCGGAAUUCCUAGUGUAGCGGUGAAAUGCGUAGAUAUCAGGAGGAACACCGGCGGCGAAGGCGGCCUGCUGGACCGUGACUGACGUUGAGGCUCGAGAGCGUGGGGAGCAAACAGGAUUAGAUACCCUAGUA
rnacentral:rRNA from 1 species